AUUGAACGCUGGCGGCAGGCCUAACACAUGCAAGUCGAGCGGAUGAGUGGAGCUUGCUCCAUGAUUCAGCGGCGGACGGGUGAGUAAUGCCUAGGAAUCUGCCUGGUAGUGGGGGACAACGUUUCGAAAGGAACGCUAAUACCGCAUACGUCCUACGGGAGAAAGUGGGGGAUCUUCGGACCUCACGCUAUCAGAUGAGCCUAGGUCGGAUUAGCUAGUUGGUGAGGUAAAGGCUCACCAAGGCGACGAUCCGUAACUGGUCUGAGAGGAUGAUCAGUCACACUGGAACUGAGACACGGUCCAGACUCCUACGGGAGGCAGCAGUGGGGAAUAUUGGACAAUGGGCGAAAGCCUGAUCCAGCCAUGCCGCGUGUGUGAAGAAGGUCUUCGGAUUGUAAAGCACUUUAAGUUGGGAGGAAGGGCAGUAAGUUAAUACCUUGCUGCUUUGACGUUACCAACAGAAUAAGCACCGGCUAACUUCGUG
rnacentral:rRNA from 1 species